rnacentral:lncRNA from 1 species
AUAAUAGUCACUAGGUCUCCGUUUCUCAAAGUGUGUUCCUCAGACCAGCCACUCUACUGAGAACUUGAAAGUGGUAUCACUUUCACUCCUCAUAGUUGGGUAGCAUCACCCACAUUUACUAAUGAGGGACAGAGAUUAGAGGGGUAAAGUGUUCAGCUUGUGAGGUUCCAGAGUUGCUGAUAGAAGCACAAGAAUUAAAAUACAGGUCUGUUUUACUCCAAAGCGUUUCGUCCCCACCAAACAAGGCUGCCUGCCAAUUAAUAUGAUGCUGGUAAAAAAAUAAUUUAAUUUAUGUACUGCUAAAGCAAGCCCCCAAAAAUAAUGUUGUAAAUAGUAUAGAGCUAUGUAAUAAAAACAUGAUUAUUAAAUAUAGCAUGACUUUCUCCUCUGCUUCUGAAUACCAGGAAGCUCCAGAGAUUUACAUGUUCUAUUAGCACAACCUUAAAUCACAGUUAUCUUUUUUUAAGUAGGUUCCAAUCCAAGCCCAGUGUGGACCCCACUGUGGGGUGCAAAUUCAUAAUCCUGAGAUCAAGACCCGAGCCAAAAUCAAGAGCUGGAUCUGAACUGACUGAGCCACCCAGGCACCUCUUAAGUCAUAGUAUUUGCAGAGCAGAAAGAGGGAAACCAAAUUGCAUCACGGAUGUGCUGGAGCUGAGGAGGAAGGCAAGUCUAAUAAAGAACUCAGAGGAGGCUUCUGUGUGAGUUCACGUGCCGGCUCCACUCAAGCCCCUUCAUGUAUCGCUCCUGUCACCACUCCUGUCACACAGGCAUUGCCAGCUGUUCGAAAGUGCACAUCACACCACUUUUACGGAAGAGCUAUGUUAAGUACCGGUUUUUGCUAAUCGAAGGUAACUGAGAGGGGAUUUUUGCUUUUAGGAAAAAAAAGGUGAAAGGUGAAAAUAGUGUUCGGCAUUUGUUUUGCACUGAGGCGUGUAGCAGCAGCAUGCACCUAGCAGCGAGAGGGCCCACCAGGCUCCUUCCCUGGGAGCUACCUCUCUGUAUCAAGCCGCCUCGCUUUCAACGGUGUCUGUGAGCAUCUGUGCUUUAUCUUGAUCUAUUUUGUGCAUCUGUCAGCAAGAUGUGUUCUCAGGUGUCAGAAAAGCCCAAGAGAAGUUAUGUUUUUGGUCUGGGAAUGCUCAAUAAAUUUACCAUGUAAAUUAAUGGUAAUAGCUUC